rnacentral:rRNA from 1 species
GACGAACGCUGGCGGCGUGCCUAAUACAUGCAAGUUGAGCGCUGAAGGUUGGUACUUGUACCAACUGGGUUAGCAGCGAACGGGUGAGUAACGCGUGGGUAAUCUGCCUUUGAGCGGGGGACAACAUUUGGAAACGAAUGCUAAUACCGCAUAAAAACUUUAAACACAAGUUUUAAGUUUGAAAGAUGCAAUUGCAUCACUCAAAGAUGAUCCCGCGUUGUAUUAGCUAGUUGGUGAGGUAAAGGCUCACCAAGGCGAUGAUACAUAGCCGACCUGAGAGGGUGAUCGGCCCAAUUGGGACUGAGACAAGGCCCAAACUCCUACGGGAGGCAGCAGGAGGGAAUCUUCGGCCAUGGACGAAAGUCUGAACGAGCAACGCCGCGGGAGUGAAGAAGGUUUUCGGAUCGUAAAACCCUGUUGGUAGAGAAGAACGUUGGUGAGAGUGGAAAGCUCAUAAAGUGACGGUAACUACUCAGAAAGGGACGGCUAACUACGUG